rnacentral:lncRNA from 1 species
AGGCUCCCCUAAGACUCAUUUGCGUCAUAUACUUUGUGAGGUGCUUCUCCGGAUCCCCUUUUCCCUCGUACUUGGGGAUCUUUGGGGGCAUGAAAUUAGUUGGCAUUGGGAAGCUUCGGAUUUCCCUUGAGAAAGGGAGGUUAUCGUCAUCGUCGUCAAUCUCAUAAGAUCGGCAGGGCCCCUCUGAUCCUUGGUCAUCUUGGACGUCUUGGGGUGGAGGAGGUGCUUUCCCAUGGCUCCCCC